rnacentral:rRNA from 1 species
UACGGAGGUGGCAAGCGUUGUUCGGAAUUACUGGGCGUAAAGGGCGCGUAGGCGGCAUGGCAAGUCAGAUGUGAAAGCCCCGGGCUUAACCUGGGAAUUGCAUCUGAAACUGUUGUGCUUGAGUUCUGGAGGGGGGUAGUGGAAUUCCCAGUGUAGCGGUGAAAUGCGCAGAUAUCAGGAGGAACACCGAUGGCGAAGGCAGGUCUCUGGGCAGUAACUGACGCUGAGGAGCGAAAGCAUGGGUAGCGAACAGGAUUA